CACGUAGGGGUGCGAGCGUUGUUCGGAUUCAUUGGGCGUAAAGGGUGCGUAGGCGGCGCGGUAAGUCGGGUGUGAAAUUUCGAGGCUUAACUUCGAAACUGCAUUCGAUACUGCCGUGCUUGAGGACUGGAGAGGAGACUGGAAUUUACGGUGUAGCGGUGAAAUGCGUAGAUAUCGUAAGGAAGACCAGUGGCGAAGGCGGGUCUCUGGACAGUUCCUGACGCUGAGGCACGAAGGUCAGGGGAGCAAACGGG
rnacentral:rRNA from 1 species